ACGUAGGAUUGGGUAGGAGGUGAAUCCCAGGGCUCAACCCUGGAACUGCCUUUAAAAUGUGUCUUGAGAUCGAGAGAGGUGAGUGGAAUUCCAAGUGUAGAGGUGAAAUUCGUAGAUAUUUGGAGGAACACCAGUGGCGAAGGCGGCUCACUGGCUCGAUACUGACA
rnacentral:rRNA from 1 species